rnacentral:rRNA from 1 species
UACGUAGGUGGCAAGCGUUGUCCGGAUUUACUGGGCGUAAAGAGCGCGCAGGCGGUUCGAUCAAGUCGCGUGUGAAAGCCCCCGGCUCAACUGGGGGAGGGUCACGCGAUACUGAUCACUCGAAGGCAGGAGAGGGUAGUGGAAUUCCCGGUGUAGUGGUGAAAUGCGUGAGAUAUCAGGAGGAACACCGGUGGCGAAGGCGGGUCUCU